UACGGCUACCUUGUUACGACUUCAUCCCAGUUACCAAUCCCACCUUCGGCAGCUCCCUCCCAAUAAAGGGUUAGGACACUGACUUCGGGUGUUACCGACUUCCGUGAUGUGACGGGCGGUGUGUACAAGCCCCGAGAACGUAUUCACCGUGGCAUAGCUGAUCCACGAUUACUAGCGACUCCGGCUUCAUGAAGUCGAGUUGCAGACUUCAAUCCGAACUGGGGACGGCUUUAAGGGAUUGGCUCACUCUUGCGAGAUCGCGGCCCACUGUACCGCCCAUUGUAGCAUGCGUGCAGCCCUGGGUAUAAGGGGCAUGAUGACUUGACGUCGUCCUCGCCUUCCUCCGAGUUGUCCCCGGCAGUCUCCCAUGAGUCCCCACCAUUACGUGCUGGCAACAUAGGACAAGGGUUGCGCUCGUUGCGGGACUUAACCCAACAUCUCACGACACGAGCUGGCGACAGCCAUGCACCACCUGUGAUGAGCGCGUAAGCACACUGUGUUUCCACAGCUAGACCCACCAUGUCAAACCCAGGUAAGGUUCUUCGGGUUGCAUCGAAUUAAGCCGCAUGCUCCGCCGCUUGUGCGGGGCCCCGUCAAUUCCUUUGAGUUUUAGCCUUGCGGCCGUACUAAUCACUAGUGAAUUCGCGGCCGCCUGCAAGUCGACCAUAUGGGAGAGCUCCCAACGCGUUGGAUGCAUAG
rnacentral:rRNA from 1 species